UACGUAGGGUGCGAGCGUUAAUCGGAAUUACUGGGCGUAAAGCGUGCGCAGGCGGUUUUGUAAGCCAGAUGUGAAAUCCCCGGGCUUAACCUGGGAAUGGCAUUUGGGACUGCAAGGCUGGAGUGUGGCAGAGGAGACUGGAAUUCCUGGUGUAGCAGUGAAAUGCGUAGAUAUUGGGAGGAACACCAGUGGCGAAGGCGAGUCUCUGGGAUGAUGCUGACGCUGAUGCGCGAAAGCCAGGGGAGCAAACGGG
rnacentral:rRNA from 1 species